GGGAAUGUGGCUCAGUAGUAGAGUGCUUGCCUUGCAUGCAUGAGACCCUAGGUUCAAUUCCUCAGCACCA
rnacentral:tRNA from 1 species